CCAUCCAAAACCCUAACUCUCACAGAUCUCAACUUAUUUCUAUCAUACAAAAAUCAAGGGAUUUAUAGAUUGGCAUGGUGGAGAGAUAAAGAUCAAGUUUGAAUCAAAUUUGAACUUAGAUAAGAGUUCGAUUUUAGGUUAAAUCCAAAUCCAAUUUGAAUUCAACUCAAAUCAGAAAUUAUCCUAUCUUUUGGGAAAUAUAGAGAGGGUGAUGAAACUCAUUUUUCCAUGGAAAAACCUCAUGCUAAUUUGAUAUUAGCAAUGAGCAAUAUGGGGCAGACUAGGGUGGUUGGCAGU
rnacentral:lncRNA from 1 species